GGGCUGGCGACAGUCCAGGGAAGCCAGGCGCGGGGGAGCGCACAGCGAGUGUCGGCUCCUGGUGCCAGCACCCCCAGGGCCGCCGGGUCACGCUGCUCCUGUGAGCGCGGCCGCCUGACGGGGCCGAAUUUCCCCACAACCAGGCGUGCCCGGACCUCCCGCGGAUCGCUGAGGACCCCGCACCACCAGGGCAGGGGCGGAGACCCAGCUGGAAGGAAGCUCCCCCGGACUGGCUCAGGGAGCGUUUCCAAAUUCUCCCAUCCCAGGAAGGCGGGUUUCCGUGAGGAGUGCGACGCCUAGGACUCUGCCUAGGAUAAGUACCGGGGUGUGAAGUUUUAUUUAUAGAUUUAAUGCAACAGGGACCCAUGUGCUAUAGGCAGCUGGGUAGCACUUUGAGAGAAGUAAAAACUUGGGAGCCGCUAGGCCCAGGCUCUUCUCCAAGCCAAAGGCCUCUUAGAGAAGAGCCCUGCUUGGUACACCUGCAUUGUUGGGCCUGGUGCAUGGGCCAUGUCCGAAAGGCUCCUGCCUCAAACCGCAGGGCCAAGGGAGAGAUGGCAAGAUCCUGCCAGCCCUAGAUGUCCCCCUAGAUGAUAAAACUGGACUCUUGGGCAGGGGCUUGAGCCCCCUGGAAGGGGCAGAGUCACCAGGGUCCUCUUUAUCCGAAGAGUGCCCAGGUCCCUUUCUGCUUCUUAGUAGUCACUCUUCUGUCUGUGGGCUCACUCCCCUGGGCUGGGCUGAGACUUCCACUUCCCAGGUGGCCUCGCUUCCUGUUUCGGUACAUACUUCUGCAAAGAGAACCAGGGUGAUGGAUGGUGCAGGGGCCAAAAUGUACCACGGAGCAUGACCUGUUCCAUGGUCAACCCCAGGGAUGGAGACUCAAAGCACACAGGCUUCCUGCUCCUCUACCCACAACCCAGCAUAGCUACAGCAGCGUGGAUAAUCAGGAACCCAAAGGCAUGAAAGGGAGACUCAGGUCUGCAGGGAGAGCUUAAAGCGCCACAUGGAUAAUAUACUCAUGUAGGGAGGAGGGACUGGAUUCCAAAUGAUUUAGCAUAGCUAUAUGCUCUUUUGGUAGUGUUUAGGUGGGCUAUAAUCUCCUUCCCUGCUACCCUCAACCUCCAGCAUGGCCCAGCCUCCUCGUGUCUAGGCCGGAACAACUCUGACUUCUGCAAAUAGAAAGACACACGUAGUCUUGCCCUUCAAUAUGUGCCCUGUGGAUCCGGCCCAGCAGCCCAUUUCCUUCUUCCUCCCCCUCACCUAGGGCCACCUUAGGAGAUACUGAGUUCACCCAACCCAAGCCUGGCUCUCCCACUCCAUUCUUAAUUUUUCCAGAGGCUACAGCAAACAGUCCUAACACCUUGAUCUUAUGAGAGGUGGAGACUCCAGAGGAUGAGUGGGUUAUGGGGCCAGGUGGUAUGCAGCAAUCAAAUAUGGCCAUGAGAACAACCUGAGCCAGAUGGACCACUCUGGCCACUUGAUCAAGGAGUCUGUCCAUUCUAGGGCUCUAGACUGUAGGGACCAGCCCUUGUCAUCUCUGGGAGGAUCUGUGGUAUUUCAGUUCUUCCCAUCGUCUUGGGAAACCAGGGACAUUGGAAGGGUCUCUGAGAGAUUCACAUCAGAUCUAGGACAGAUCUAGUGGGAGCUGGGUGAGAUUAUCCUCUGCCAGCCAGCCCUAGGACUCCCCAGGCUUCUGAGUCGGCCUGGAAAUGAACUAGACACAGGGUAGUUAGUGUCUCUCCCAGUUUAGGCUACUGUGGGUUGGAUUAUAUUCUCAUCAUGUCCCCACUUCUCGCUCUAUCUCUGAAUGCAGGCCCCAGGUGAGCUAACACCUGAUUAUCCUCUGCAGCCCAGGCGAGCUAACAGCUGAUUAUCCUCUGCAGCCCAGGCUACCAGCAAGUGGAGCCCUGACCUUGCCACUCCAAGAUAGAAUCUAGUCUCCAGCACAAGAAACUGCUAAAGAAGCUAUGAUUCAUCUCCGGAUUGACAUAAUGCUGAGCAGAGACCACAAGGGAGGAAAAGGAAGCCAUGAGAACGCAAAUCUCCCAAGGAUUCACUGAAAUCUGGAAUAGGCUUUGGACUUUCACAGGCUACGAGAUUGGGGAGUUAAGCCAUCUGACUCAGAUCUUGAGGGGCAGAGAGACCCUUCAGCUGAUAUGCAGACUACACUGAUGGGGAAGGCCAAGGCAGGAGGAUCGCCUGAAGCCAGCAGUUUUGAGACCAGCUUAGGCAGCCUGGGCAACGCAGUGAGACCCUGCCUCUACAGAAAAAACUAAAAAAUUAGCUGGGCAUAGUGAUACAUACCUGUAGUCCCAGGUAUUUGGGAGGCUGGAGUGGAAGGAAAACUUGAGCCUGGGAGUUUGAGGCUCCAAUGAGCUGUGAUCGCACCACUUCACUCCAGUCUGGGCAACAGAGAGAGACCCUGUCUCUCUUUAUUGUUAAUAUUUCAGGGGCUGUGGUAAGCCUUUCCUUAAAAAAUUGGGAGCAAGGAAAAUAAGAUACCCCCUAAAGCACAAAUAUAUAGUAAAAAAAAGUAAAGAAGUACAAACUCACUCAAGAAGACAGAGACAAAUCUUGUCAGUGACCACCAAGGACUUUCUUUCAAGUGUUUCCCAAUGACUGUCCCAUCACUACAUGCAAGAUGUUGCCCAAGUCUCUUUGCCUGACCUUGAGCAACUUUCUAAUUGUGGUUUUACUUCCCAAUUAUAGCUGCAAACAGAGAGAAAAUGUGCUAGUUACUUUGAUUCUCCAAAUAAUUUCCCCUGAUAAACUAAUAAAUUAGCAUUCUAGUUUA